AUGUGCAAGUGUGUGUGUGUGUGUGUGCGUGAGUGUGUGUGUAUGUGCACGUGUGUGUGUGCACGUGUGUGUGUGCGUGAGUGUGUGUGUGUAUGUGCACAUGUGUGUGUCUCUCUGUGUGUGUCUGUGUGUGUGUGGGUGUCCCUGUGUGUGCCUCUGUGUGUGUGUCCCUGUGUGUGUCUCUCUGUGUGCUCUGUGUCUGUGUGUGUGUGUCUGUGUGUGUGUGUCUGUGUGUGUGUGUGUGCACGUGUGUGUGUGUCUGUGUGUCUCUAUGUGUGUGUCUGUGUGUGUGUCUCUGUGUGUGUGUGUGUCUCUGUGUGUGUGCACGUGUGUGUGUGUCUGUGUGUCUCUAUGUGUGUGUCUGUGUGUGUGUGUGUCUCUAUGUGUGUGUCUGUGUGUGUGUCUCUCUGUGUGUGUCUCUCCGUGUGUGUCUAUCUGUGUGUCUGUGUGUCCCUGUGUGUGUGUCUCUGUGUGCGUCUCUAUGUGUGCGUCUCUGUGUGUGUGUCUCUAUGUGUGUGUGUCUCUGUGUGUGUCUCUGUGUGUGUCUGUGUGUGUGUCUCUCUCUGUGUGUGUCCUGUGUGUGUGUGUCUGUGUGUGUGUGUGUGUGUCUCUGUGCGUCUCUAUGUGUGUGUCUCUCUGUGUCUGUGUGUGUCUCUAUGUGUGUGCGUCUAUGUGCGUCUAUAUGUGUGCGUCUCUGUGUGUGUGUCUCUCUGUGUGUCUGUGUGUGUCUCUGUGUGUGUCUGUGUGUGUCUAUCUGUGUGUCUGUGUGUCUGUGUGUCUGUGUGUGUCUCUCUGUGUGUGUGUCUCUGUGUCUCUGUGUGUGUGUCUCUGUGUGUGCCUCUCUGUGUGUGUCUGUGUGUCUCUCUGUGUGUGUCUGUGUGUGUGUGUGUCUCUCUGUGUCUCUGUGUGUGUGUCUCUGUGUGUGCGUCUAUGUGUGUCUCUGUGUGUGUGUCUCUCUGUGUCUCUGUGUGUGUGUCUCUGUGUGUGCGUCUAUGUGUGUCUCUCUGUGUGUCUGUGUGUCUCUCUGUGUGUCUCUCUGUGUGUGUCUCUGUGUGUCUGUGUGUGUCUGUGUGUGUGAGGGGAUGA
rnacentral:lncRNA from 1 species